rnacentral:rRNA from 1 species
UACGUAGGGUCCGAGCGUUGUCCGGAAUUACUGGGCGUAAAGAGCUCGUAGGUGGUUUGUCGCGUUGUUCGUGAAAACUCACAGCUUAACUGUGGGCGUGCGGGCGAUACGGGCAGACUGGAGUACUGCAGGGGAGACUGGAAUUCCUGGUGUAGCGGUGGAAUGCGCAGAUAUCAGGAAGAACACCGAUGGCGAAGGCAGUUCUCUGGGCCGUAACUGACGCGUGGAGAAAGCGAAAGCGUGGGGAGCGAACAGG